rnacentral:lncRNA from 1 species
CUUUCCCAACUCAUUUCCCCUUUCCUUUACGUGUUGUUUUCAUUCUUCUCCUCUUCGCCUAAUCGAUCUUGUUUACAGGUUUCAGCCGAUGACAUCGUCAUCAGUCAGUCAUCUUCAAUUUCCACCCAAACCCUUUUAACCUUCCCUUUUCAAGUGUCUUAAAUUUAAACUUUUCCCAAAUCACCUAUUCGAGUCGUCGAUCGCUACCGCCGCUCUAAUCCCUCUCCAGACCCAAGUAAUUUGACAAUUUCAUAGAUGCACCCAUGAUUAGUACUCCACGUUUACCUCCAACGUAUGGAAGGUUUCUACAUUUAAUGAUCCAAUGAAGGCUUUUGGUUUGUUGAAUUGCUAUUCCUUUUUAUUUCAUACGAACCAAUCACAUCUAAAGCCUACAAUUUUGCUGCCAAAGGUCGAGAGACUUCACAUUGGAUGGUAAGAACAAAUAAUAGUAAUUCUUCAUAUCCUGUCAUUUUAAUGUGCACAAGUUCUUGCAUCCUCUUGUAUAUGGUGAAUAUCUAAAAACGAUGCAGAAUAUUGUUCCGAAAAAGGCAACCAGAGGUUAAGACGGUAAAUGAUCCUUUGAUUUCGUGUGCAUAAAUCAGUACUCCAGUUAUAAUAUGGAACCACAUCGAGAUAAGACAAAGCCCCUUGGCUACCAGUAGGAUUGGGAAGUUGGAUUUCCUUGUAAGAUACUCUCGUGCUUUUGUUUUUGACAUUGGAAUAAAUAUUUACAUAUACUGUAUAAUAUUAGCUUGUCCGUUGCCUCUCCAGAUGCUCGUCAUGUAGUGCCCGCAGUCAUUUCGAGGGUAACUUAGCUCAAACUAUAUAUUCUACAAAACUGAGUCAAACUUUUAUUAAGUACAUUUUGUUGAUAAAAAUGUCACUAUGAAUUAGUUAUAAUUAGGUAGUGUAUGAUUUGACCUAUAUUGUACCGUGGAGUCUGGACAUAGCUAUUAACUAUGUUAAAGAGGGCUUUCGAAGUCCUACCAUGAUUUUUGCUGAGAAUGGUGCAUUUUGUAUUAGAUAUUUAUUCGAGUUAUGUGUUAAGGUGAAAAUUUAUAAAAAAUACUAAAUCACGUUCAUAUGACUAUCAGGAAUGGAUGAUCCAGGGAAUUUAACUCUUAAGGCUUUGAUACCACAAAAAUCAACUACUACAAGAGCUAUUUAGCAGAAUUGAUGAAAACAAUCAUUGAGGAAGCCAACGUGAUCAGGUACUUCCGAUGGACAUUGCUCGAUAAUUUCGAAUGGAGACUCUUUUGCUCUUUUUUUUUUUUUCCUUUUUUUUUGUAUAGAAAAAUACUAUGCUUUUUAUUGAUUGGGUGAUACAAAGAUGGGUUCUUUCAUAGUGUUUUUGGUGUUUUCGUGUACUUUUUUUUCUUUUUCUUUUUAUUAAGGUGUCCCCCUUUGACGACUAUUUCUUAGGUCUGUGAUCCGACCCCUCUUCACACAAACCAAUUAAACUGCGGGAUGUGCCUCCUAUUGAUCAGGGUCCGAGCGCCUCUCCAACUGAACUGUCAAAGUGCCUAGUAAGCCAAAUCACGUUGUGCCUUACCUUCCAAGACAUUUCCGCCUUUCAGGAUAAAUCCUGUCUUCCAGUAUAUGCCUUGCCUUCCAAGAGCCCCACGAAUGGAACCCACGACCUCUGAACUGCCAACCUUGAGAGAAGAUAUGGUAUCCUCGUGAAAUGACAAAACUAGUUAAUUGUUUAGUCCACAUCAUAUAACAUUCCUUUACCGAGUACCGUUAUGGUCCAUUGGAAUUAUUUUGGAAGCAUUUCAAUUAUUUGGAGACAGUUCAAAUGCAUCAUCCAUUGAGACCAACACCUUCUAUGUGUUUAGAAGUUACUAAAUUUUUAAUGAUUAGAAGUGUUGGAUGUUUUUUGAUUCUCUGUUGCGUGCGUAGUUGACUUAGUAACAAUGCUUCUGUCUUUCAUAAGCUUCACUAUCAUCGCUUAUACACCAUUUGAAUAAUGAUGUCUCAAGUCUUAUACUUACAUAAUCCUAGUUUGUUGGUUGUAUUUUUUUAAAAUAAUAUUUUAUACGCUUUCCUAGAAAUUGGUGUUUGGUAAAGUUGAUUCUGUAUUAUAUGUUUCUUCUCAUAAUCAAGGCUUACUUUGUCAAUUGCAUUAUUGAUCAUUUUUCUUACGGUUUAUGAUUUGAAAUUCGUACUAUUAUUGAUUGCUAUUAUGUUAUAUUCCACUAUCUUUAUUGAACGCAAUGGAGAUUGCCCAUGCCAUCAGAAAGCUGCCUCCUACCAAGGCUAAGAGGUAUUUAUAGGACAUAUUGAUCCACAAACAACCCAUACCCUUCACUCGUUUCUGUCCAGGUAUUGGACGAACAACUCAGGUGAAAAACAGACACUGUAAAGAUAGUCGAUGCAGCUUGAAUGAAGAUGGAACAAAGGAUGCAAAACAAGCUGGAGGUUGUCGAGCAACAAUUCAAUUCUACGUUGUAGUCUUCGCAUCAUUCUAUGCACCAGCUAUUUGGUAAAGUUCCUAGUUUCAUUGUACCACCAUUUACACCAUUGUCAAUAGAGAAUAACGCUAUGAGGAAGAUGAAUGUUAUUGAGUACGAAGAGAAUAACUUUGGUGAGGAUCGGUUGCAUAUCCAAUUCACGAGGAUGAAGAGUUAUUUCUUUAAGUGCAUUAUAAUUCAUGUUUGCUAUACCUUUUUUCUUUUUCUUUUUUUAAAUUUAAAUGUAAUCAUACUUAGUGAAUGGUUUUUAUUUGUGUUUCAAUGAAAUAUUUUGGAUUCAAUGUUAGAUUGAUUGACACUAUAUGUCUUAAUUUAA